GUCACUGACAUUAGACUACCCGGUAGUCCCAGCCGUAAACUAUGCGCGUUAGGUGUAUCGGUGACCACGAGUUACCGAGGUGCCGAAGGGAACCGUGAAACGUGCCGCCUGGGAAGUACGGUCGCAAGGCUGAAACUUAAAGGAAUUGGCGGGGAGCACCACAACAGGUGGAGCCUGCGGUUUAAUUGGACUCAACGCCGGGAAGCUCACCGGAUAGGACAGCAGAAUGAUUGCCGGGCUGAAGACCCUGCAUGACUAGCUG
rnacentral:rRNA from 1 species